rnacentral:lncRNA from 1 species
UGCUUAGGUUUUGCCUGAAAGAUGAUCGGAAUAGCAAGAGGGUGAGAAUUUGUAGAGAGAAGAUGGAGAAAUCUAGAGAGAAGGAGGAGAAAAUGGAAGUUCAGGAGUUUAGAGAAGAAGGGUGCAUGCAGAAGUGGCAUCAGAUUUUUAAAAUUUCACAUUAAACACUAUCGUAAAAAAUCGAACGGUCCACUUUGCUGCUCACACCUGUCUUCCACCUUCUAAAAUUUCCAAUUCCUUGACUAACACCUGGCUUCCACUAUCACUACUGAAUUUAAUGGACCUAACAACUCUGAUUUCUGAUGCAAAAAAUU